ACCGCACGCAGAGGGGAAAAGCACCCCGCUCCUCCGCUGCGGGCUGUGGCGAGCGGUGCCGGGACGACCGGGGGCGGCCAGAACAAGGCCGUGAGGCAGCCCGGCCCCGAGCCCGGGUCCUGUCAGCGGGAGGCCGCUGGGCGCUCGGCUUGGCGCUGGCUUCCCAGCGUGCGGGGGCGGCUGGCGCGGCUCCCGGCGGCGGGACGAGCUGAGGCAGCGCUCGGGCGGGCAGGGCCGGGCUGCUCGGAACGCGUGGCGGAGCCCUAAGGAUCCUCCCACAGAACCACUGCAGUUAGACAAGCAAAGCAGACUGAUGAGGAGGACAUGAAGUGGAGCAUGAGUUUUACACGUCUCAAAUACAGAACUGGUCUACAUGAGAAUGUUAUGGUGCCACAUUAUUGUGUCCUGCAGAAUGGGAGAUAAUACUGUGAAUUGGAAAAGAUGCUGAGAUAAAAUCUCCUUUGACCUCUUGAGCACAAAGGAAAUGGAUGGGAGACCUGUUUGGUGUUCCUAAUCAUCAAUGACGUGUUUUAUAGAGAUCUGCUUCCGUAAAGACCUCUGUGCUGGGUGAAAUACAAGCAGAGAGGAAAAAACAAAUUUUCUCCAAUUCCUUUGUUAAAAAAGGUAAGGAGAAGGCCCCAGAAUAAUAAUCACUCCUUCCUCUCCUUUACAGAUGAGGUUAAGGCAGACAGAAAUGAAAGGACUCACCACGGUUAUGCCACAGUCAGGAAUUAAACUCAGAGCUUCUGAAUCCAACUCCAGUGCCUGAACCACACAUUCAUUUUCUUCUCUACAUUCCCCAACAGUGUUAGGCCAUGUGGCCACUAUUGGUGAAAUGAAAAACAGGUGCAGAUCCAUGAACAGAUGGGAGACCAGCCCUGGCUGAUCUCUGGAGGAUAAUACAGCAUUGUUUUCCAGCAAAGAGGAUUCCAAAGAACCACAGAGGCAGCACCCCUGCCCUAAAACUGAAGCUGCUCUGCCUCACACUAAAUGUUAUCUCUACCAGCCCAGCAAGUGGGAGUUCUGAGGCAUGGCCUGUUGUCUGUCAGCAAAGGACACUGUCUUACUGACCUCUCAGACUUGCAAUAUUGACAUCUCUGUUUUUCAGGCAUGCAUAUAAAGAUCAUAGAAGGCUAAUUGAAAUUCCAUUCUUUGCUGUAACUGCAGCCAGUGUUUCUACGUUGCUGAAACAUGAAAUUUCUUCCCUUGAGUAGACAAUUUUGAAAUGUCUAACCCUCAAAAAAUGCUAUUAAUCAUGUGCAGAAUCUUUCUCUGGGAAAAUCACUAGUGGUACGGGACAAAUCAGCCAGGUAAGAUGAAUAAUGUAUUUAUUCUGGAUCCAUAAGGACAGAUCUACUUUUGAUUUGCAGUUCAUGGGGAGCUGAUGGCUUACUCCACAAUACUCCAUACAUUGUUAAACAAAGAACUUGGACGGCAUUCCAAGUGGGAGAGUGAUAGUAGAUAACGAACAGAGCGAUUGCCUGGUCCUUGCACAGGAUGAAGUGCUAGCUUGCAAAAUACUUCCCUGCCUUGUGUGACCCACGGUUAUAGUCCCUGCAUGGUACAAGACACAUUUUCCCUCCGUGUGUGAUCCGACGUAUCAGCCAGGAGUAUUAGAGAAGACAUGGCAAUCCUCAGUUUCCAAAGAUCCACAGAGCACACAUCAGACCCAAGAGGAUAGCACAUGCAAGAGGACAGGGUAUGUUUCAUAGAAUCAUAGACUAGUUGGGGUUGGAAGGGACCUCCAAAGGUCAUCUAGUCCAACCGCCCUGCCAUGGGCAGGAACAUCUUCAACUAGAACAGGUUGCUCAGAGCCCCAUCCAACCUGACCUUCAAUGUUUCCAGGGAUGGGACAUCUACCACUUCUCUGGGCAACCUGUGCCGGUGUUUCACCACCCUCACUGUAAAAAUUUCUUCCUUAUAUCUAGUGGGAAUCUACCCGAUUUGAGUUUAAAACCAGUACCCCUUGUUCUAUCACAACAGGCCCUACUAACCUUUCAUCUUAGAUACCACUGGUUCCAGCCUUCUCUUAGGUUGCUUCUUGCAAAAACACUCGUUUAGUGCUGUGUUUGAGAGAGGUUAGUUGCCCUUGCUAAAGCUGCUUUUACAGCAAAAACGCAUGUUCACUUGUGCUAAGAAACUCAAACCCUCACAGUUUCCUUAGACUCAUUUGAACUGGGGGCAUAAAACCUGAUUUGCAACAGUAGGCCAAAACCACACUGCUAACAUACGUGUAUUCUGCUCGUGCUAAACUGCAAAGCAGAUUGGUUGGGAAAAUCUAUCUCGUCCGCGUUAUAGUCAGGUUUUGAAGGAAAACAUUCUCCACAGAUGACGCUAACAGAAUUUAAGAGCAAAGAUGUCCCAGGACACUGGGAAUCUCAAACUGCUUGGCCUCAGUUUCUCUGAUUUGCUCUUCUCAGCUUCGUGUAUGCUCUUUGAGAGACAAAAAAGAGCAUUUCCUUAAUUUUGAGCUUGGAUUUCUUUUCCAGCUGAACACUCACAAAAGCAGCUGGGCCCAGAGGUGGAAUGUUCCAAACCCCCAUUUGGAUCCCAGUAUGUAAGUUAUGGAGUCAGUUGUGGCACCACUUCAUAGAGAACAGACAAUGAGUUUUGGAUCUUCCCUGAAGGUGAGCAUAGUGCUGUGUGCUGGAAUGGAGAAGGACUCGGACUUGCUCUGUCUUCUCCUGUCCCACUGCUCUUCUGGCUGCUGAGGAGGAGGCAGCCGCCUCUUCACCCAGGUGAGGCAGCCCCCUCCCUGGGCCUGGGAGGAGCAGAAGCCGGCAUGCACCAGGCUGGGAGGGAAGGAUCAGACCCAGAGCUGCAAGCCCGAAGGGACAACCCCUCAAGGACGGGCAAAGGAUCAGGCAAGAAGUGGCCCAGAUGCCGACAGGGAAAAUGUUAAUGUUGAUUAAUUCUUGGGAAAAUGUUAACUCUUCUAUAAAGAAUCCAGACUCAGCUUUUAGUAACAGCAUCUAGUCAGUGCCGGAGGAAAAGGUGGAGUCCAUUUUAAGCCUUUCCCAAUGCUUCAGAUUUACGGUAAAGCUUUCCUACGGGAUUCCAAAUGCUCAUUCUAGCAGAAUUGUAUUUAACAAAGGUAUCCUAACAUGCAUCCCUUCCAUUGGAAAACAGAAAAGAAAAAAAGAUUAAGGAGUUGUGGUCUGAAAGUACCUGGAGACAGGACAGAAGCCUGGUGAAGGAAGGAUGAAGAAGGGGAAAAUGCCAUUUUUACUCUCUCUGAAAGAAGUGACUAACUUGUAGCAGGUCUUUGUUCAGAAAAGGGGAGAGGAGUGACGAUGGAAGCUCAAAGGCUGGAUUUAGAAUUAUUACUGAAUUAAGUAUGUGUGCUGGGGAAGGCAGCAGGGCAUCUCUUCCACUGCUGCUAUUAAAGACAUACUUACACCAGCUGAGUGUCACCUCCCCUCUUAGAGAUUUGCCUGUGCUAAAAGCGCCAGCACAUCAGCAACACUUGGCCGUAUAUGCACCCUGACAAGUCUUCUACAACGUAAACUAGAUCACAACAUCGUUACGUUUUCUAAGGUUACGAAGGACAGUCCAGGAGCUGGACGCAGCAGCCACACUGCCUGACACACACCACAUCCAAACACCCUCAGCUCUCCGUUUGCUUUGGUCUUUGAUGUGCUUUUCCGACUAACAUUUAUUUAUUUAGAGAAGAGUUGGAAAAACCCAAGCUUCUGCAAAGUCUGCUUGUUACUGGAGGGUUUUGGCUUGAACAGUUGUGCAUAAAGACAUCACCGCUCUCUGUGUACGCCAUGGACACUGUACACCUUUUUCUUUUGUUAACACUCCCAGAAAGAAAAGUUGUAAUGUGAAGAAAGCUUAAGCUACAGACCUUUCCCCCUCUUUCGUUCACAAGACCUACACAGAAUGCCCUCAUCAACUCGGAACCAACUCGGCACUGAACUGCAACGCACAAAAGGGGCUCAGAUCCCAGAAACUGAUCUCGAGGGGCAAAGUAAAGGAGCGAGAUGCAGCGGGAGGCAGGUGCCCACGGGGUCAGCUGCUGCUCCGUUUGCUGUUUGCCUGGGCAAUCCCCGUCCUGCGCUGCGGCAAGCACAGGGCAGGCACCACUCCUCCUCCGUGCGCCGGCCACUGCGGUACUGGCUUCACGGGGAGCAGCAACGCUUCU